rnacentral:rRNA from 1 species
AUACGUAGGUGACAAGCGUUAUCCGGAUUUACUGGGCGUAAAGGGCGUGUAGGCGGUCUUGCAAGUCAGAAGUGAAAUUCCUGAGCUCAACUCGGGCGCUGCUUCUGAAACUGCAUUUCUUGAGUGAAGUAGAGGUAAGUGGAAUUCCUAGUGUAGCGGUGAAAUGCGUAGAUAUCAGGAGGAACACCGGUGGCGAAGGCGGCUUACUGGGCUUUUACUGACGCUGAGGCUCGAAAGCGUGGGGAGCAAACAGGAUUAGAUACCCUGGUAGUCCACGCUGUAAACGAUGAGUACUAGGUGUCGGGGGUUACCCCCCUCGGUGCCGCAGCUAACGCAUUAAGUACUCCGCCUGGGAAGUACGCUCGCAAGAGUGAAACUCAAAUGAAUUGGCGGGG